rnacentral:rRNA from 1 species
UAAACGAUGUCGACUUGGAGGUUGUGGCUUCCGGAGCUAACGCGUUAAGUCGACCGCUGGGGAGUACGGCCGCAAGGUUAAACUCAAAUGAAUUGACGGGGGCCCGCACAAGCGGUGGGCAGUGGUUUAAUUCGAUGCAACGCGAAGAACUUACCUGGUCUUGACAUCCAGGUGCUGCAUGGCUGUCGUCAGCUCGUGUUGUGAAAUGUUGGGUUAAGUCCCGCAACGAGCGCAACCCUUAUCCUUUGUUGCAACUCAAAGGAGACUGCCAGUGAUAAACUGGAGGAAGGUGGGGAUGACGUCAAGUCAUCAUGGCCCUUACGACCAGGGCUACACACGUGCUACAAUGGCGCAUACAAAGAGAAGCGACCUCGCGAGAGCAAGCGGACCUCAUAAAGUGCGUCGUAGUCCGGAUUGGAGUCUGCAACUCGACUCCAUGAAGUCGGAAUCGCUAGUAAUCGUGGAUCAGAUGCCACGGUGAAUACGUUCCCGGGCCUUGUACACACCGCCCGUCACACCAUGGGAGUGGGUUGCAAAAGAAGUAGGUUACCACUUUGUGAUUCAUGACUGGGGUGAAGUCGUAACAAGGUAACCGA